rnacentral:misc_RNA from 1 species
AAUUGUCCUCAUUGUUUAUUGAUUCUGGUUCAUUUUCAUGACAGUUGUUAAAUCCUUUUUUUUCCCUUAAUUUUUCUGCAAGUUCUUACAGUUUUGAUUCUUUCUUGUUCAGUAUCUUCUCUGCUAAUUUCUGGCAAUCAGAAUGCAGUUUGUUGGUAUUGAGUUGUUUGAUUGUGGUUAUUGUCAUGCAUUAUAUACAUGGUGUACCCUUUCUUGGAAUUUGGUUCUUUAAAUGCGUUCGGAUUUUAUCAAUUUCCUGAUGCAUUAUGAGUAUUCACUUCAUAAAUUCAUUAUUGUUUUUGUUCGCAAGAAAGUGAAAACCACCAUUUUAGUUUGCCAUGGUGAUUAUGCAAGGUGUUUUCUCGUUGAAUUUCUGUGUUAUUUAGGGUCUUACUGAUGUUGGAAUGUUGAAAUUAAAUUGCUUUAUGAAUAUUGCAUCACUUGAUCAAAUUUAAUAUUUUAUUUCAUUGUUUGUACAGAUUUGAAAUCAGCCCUUGGGAA